AUUGAACGCUGGCGGCAUGCCUUACACAUGCAAGUCGAACGGCAGCACGGGUGCUUGCACCUGGUGGCGAGUGGCGAACGGGUGAGUAAUACAUCGGAACGUACCUUAUCGUGGGGGAUAACGCAGCGAAAGCUGUGCUAAUACCGCAUACGCCCUGAGGGGGAAAGCGGGGGAUCGCAAGACCUCGCGCGAUUAGAGCGGCCGAUGCCUGAUUAGCUUGUUGGUGGGGUAAAAGCCCACCAAGGCGACGAGCAGUAGCUGGUCUGAGAGGAGUAUCAGCCACACAGGGACUGAGACCCGGCCCAGACUCCUACGGGAGGCAGCAGUGGGGAAUUUUGGACAAUGGGGGCAACCCUGAUCCAGCAAUGCCGCGUGAGAGAAGAAGGCCUUCGGGUUGUAAAGCUCUUUUGUCAGGGAAGAAACACCGGCUCUAACACAGUCCGGGAAUGACGGUACCUGAAGAAUAAGCACCGGCUAACUACGUGCCAGCAGCCGCAGUAA
rnacentral:rRNA from 1 species